CUACGGGACGCUGCAGUGGGGAAUAUUGCACAAUGGGCGCAAGCCUGAUGCAGCCAUGCCGCGUGUAUGAAGAAGGCCUUCGGGUUGUAAAGUACUUUCAGCGGGGAGGAAGGGAGUAAAGUUAAUACCUUUGCUCAUUGACGUUACCCGCAGAAGAAGCACCGGCUAACUCCGUGCCAGCAGCCGCGGUAAUACGGAGGGUGCAAGCGGUAAUCGGAAUUACUGGGCGUAAAGCGCACGCAGGCGGUUUGUUAAGUCAGAUGUGAAAUCCCCGGGCUCAACCUGGGAACUGCAUCUGAUACUGGCAAGCUUGAGUCUCGUAGAGGGGGGUAGAAUUCCAGGUGUAGCGGUGACAUGCGUAGAGAUCUGGAGGAAUACCGGUGGCGAAGGCGGCCCCCUGGACGAAGACUGACGCUCAGGUGCGAAAGCGUGGGGAGCAAACAGGAUUAGAUACCCGCGUAGUC
rnacentral:rRNA from 1 species